rnacentral:lncRNA from 1 species
UGAUGAUUGAGCUUGGCAGAUCAAUAGUUGGUGUUCAGAAACUCUCAAAAAUGUAUGGCAAAAAGUAAUAUCUUUUCAUCACUCAUAGUGAGGUCUCAUCUGACAUCCCUGUAACAAAAGACAGAUUAGCAAGAGAAAAGCAUAGAAAAUAAUUUAACAAUGUUUUAUAUGAUGCAGGAGCUUUCAGAGACAAAGACCUGAAGACCCAGAGAAAAAUGUGUUUUUAUGCUAAUUAUGAAGAAAGAAGUGAAUAAUUGUGGAGAAACAUGAUUGGACAAAAAGGAUAUGAUCCCAUGAUAAGAAAAUUAGUCUAACAAACAACAGAGUGAUUUUCUUGAGGACGUUAACAGAUGGGAUCUAGAACCCAGGUCUUCAGAGUCCUACCUCAGUGUCCUUUCUGCUACAAAUGCAGAUAGAUUGAAUUAACUCAAGACUCUGAAUUCUACCCACACCUGUUCCCUGGUAGCAAGAGCAGUGCUUGGCUCUCCGCAGAAUGCUAAGAACGGUGUGAAUGUAAACAGAUAUACAAUCGACAAGAUUUGACAGACAGAUUUUCAAC